GCCUUUGUGGUAUAACGGUAGCACACUCGACGUGUAUUCAAGAGGUCCAGGUUCGAGUCCUGCCGAGGGCG
rnacentral:tRNA from 1 species